CCUACGGGUGGCAGCAGUGAGGAAUAUUGGUCAAUGGCCGUAAGGCUGAACCAGCCAAGCCGCGUGAAGGACGAAGGUUCCAAGGUUUGUAAACUUCUUUUAUAAGGGAAUAAAGGCAUCCUCGUGAGGCUAUUUGCGUGUACCCUAUGAAUAAGCAUCGGCUAACUCCGUGCCAGCAGCCGCGGUAAUACGGAGGAUGCGAGCGUUAUCCGGAUUUAUUGGGUUUAAAGGGUGCGUAGGUUGUGUUUUAAGUCAGCGGUGAAAGCUUGUGGCUCAACCAUAAAAUAGCCGUUGAAACUGGAAGUCUUGAGUGUGUGUGAGGUAUGCGGAAUGCGUGGUGUAGCGGUGAAAUGCAUAGAUAUCACGCAGAACUCCGAUUGCGAAGGCAGCAUACUA
rnacentral:rRNA from 1 species